rfam:Hymenolepis nana genome assembly, scaffold: HNAJ_scaffold0000733
GGGGUGUGAGACAGACUUACCUCAACGUGGUACACCCCAGGCAACGUAUAUUUAUGCGGCAAAAAAGUUUAU